UCACUCAGCUCGGUGUUCUCCAAGAGAAGAUAACCUGUGAGACCGCUGAGAGUGUUGUACAUCAUGGAUGUUCUUAUUUCCUCCAUGCUGGGGGACGAUCCACAGCUGAUGGCUGAGCCGGGCGUCCAGAUCUACGAGCAGCCCAAGCAGAGGGGGAUGCGCUUCAGGUACAAGUGUGAGGGUCG